UCUGAACAGAACAUCAUCCUUGAAAAUGGUAAACUUUUGAAUUCUCCUAAACAGUUGUCCUUCCGCCGGAAAAUAGACUCCUCAAGAAUUUGCUCCUGCAGCCAGCCCGGUUCACCCAAUCCCAGAACCCAUAAAGCCCACCCCGCUUUUCACCGGUUGACAUCUUCUUCCGCAACAAAUCCGCCGGAAAAAUCACGGGUCAGUGCUAAAAAAAAGCCUCGCAACUUAAAUGGAACAAGCGAUAAAAAAUUUGACCCAGUUAUUGGCAUGUCAAUUGUGAUGAUAACCCUAAUUAUAAUGUUGCUAUGGGGUCGUUUAUGUGCGAUUCUUUGUACGUCUGCAUGGUUAUAUUUCGUCCCUCGGUUAGCCGCUAAGGUUAAACCGACUCCGAAUGGAACUGUGAAAAAUGGGUUGGUUUCGGGGGAACCAGAUUUAGACCCGGAGGAGCACAAGAGGAGAGUGGUUUUGGAGGGGUUUCU
rnacentral:misc_RNA from 1 species